rnacentral:rRNA from 1 species
GACGAACGCUGGCGGCGUGCUUAACACAUGCCAGUCGAACGGAAAGGCCCUGCUUUUGUGGGGUGCUCGAGUGGCGAACGGGUGAGUAACACGUGAGUAACCUGCCCUUGACUUUGGGAUAACUUCAGGAAACUGGGGCUAAUACCGGAUAGGAGCUCCUGCUGCAUGGUGGGGGUUGGAAAGUUUCGGCGGUUGGGGAUGGACUCGCGGCUUAUCAGCUUGUUGGUGGGGUAGUGGCUUACCAAGGCUUUGACGGGCAGCCGGCCUGAGAGGGUGACCGGCCACAUUGGGACUGAGAUACGGCCCAGACUGCUACGGGAGGCAGCAGUGGGGAAUAUUGCACAAUGGGCGGAAGCCUGAUGCAGCAACGCCGCGUGCGGGAUGACGGCCUUCGGGUUGUAGACCGCUUUCGCCUGUGACGAAGCGUGAGUGACGGUAAUGGGUAAAGAAGCACCGGCUAACUACGUG